rnacentral:misc_RNA from 1 species
ACACGUAUCCACGUAUCAACCCCUCUGUGCAAACCUACUUCUUGAAGGCGUGGUUGGAGUGUGGCUUGUUCGCAUGAGUCCUAAUGAUGGGAGCCUUUUCGGAGGCUCAGGGCUCGAGCAGUCACGCGUUUGACAAUCUGCCGCUACUUUUCCAUCAUUGGCCCCUUUACUCACUUUUUAACCCCUUGUACUUCUUUGUACUGAACCAAUUCUUCGAUGCUCUCUCUGAGAGUGACGAAAGAUAUUACGAAACCUAAGAA